GCUGGGCGUGGUGGCGGGCACCUGUAAUCCCAGCUACUCGGGAGGCUGAGGCAGGAGAAUCACUUGAACCCAGGAGGUGGAGGUUACAGUGAGCCAAGAUUACAAAUACACCACUGCACUCCAGCCUGGGUGACAGAGUGAGAUUCUGUCUCAA
rnacentral:SRP_RNA from 2 species